rnacentral:rRNA from 1 species
UCCGACCCAGCCAGCGCCAACAAGGAAGCCUCGGUCGCACCUUCCUUCCAUCCAUCCUCUAGGCCUCGAUCGGUCACAGUGCUAUAAAAAUCCCAUCGUUCCCACUCACAAACCAACCCAACACCCGGCGGUCCACUAUCCAGAUCCAGAUUCUCUAUCCUGACCCUGCUCCUGCGAUCCCCAACCGACCCUGCUCCUGCGAUCCCCAACCCCAAUCCAAGGAACAGACCAAGAGCAACAGGGAGACCAUGAGCGCCAUGGUCGCGUCGUCGCUUAACCCGGAGGCCCCGCUCUUCAUCCCGGCAGCGUUCCAGCAGGUGGAGGACUUCUCACCGCAGUGGUGGGACCUCGUCAAGUCCACCGCCUGGUUUCGCGACCACUGGUACCACCAGCACCAGCAGCUCGACGAUAUGGUCGACUCCCUCAUGGCCUUGGAGGCCGAGGACGCCAUCGCCGUCGAGGCUUCGCAGCCGCAGCCGCCAGCGGCACUCAAGAUUGACGGGGUGCUCAAGGCGCUGAGCCUGGCGUCCCCAAGCCCAAAGGGUGGCUUCUCGGAGAAGCCUAGGUACACCGAGAAGCCCACCAAGUACGCCGGCAGCCCGAGGAGCGGUGGCGCACCGCGCUUCAUCCACCAGCCUCGCUAGGUUGGGAUGUCAAGCUUCAAGAAUCGAGCAAAUCCUGCGCCUGCAGUGAUGCAUUGCUCUGGCUGCCGCCGCCGUCUCAUCUUUCAAGUCUUCUUCUACUAGUAGUAAGUAGUGGUGUCCGUUUGUAUAUUAUAUUAAGUACGUAGAAAUGAAAUGACCUAAGAAAAAGGCAACAAAAUGCAACCGAUGUUCAGUGUGAUUUGCCUUGCAAGUUAUGUUCUGCUCAGUGCGUGUGAUGGUUCAGCCUCGUUCGCUCCUCGCUCCUUUUUCACCCCACGUACGUCAGAAAAAGGAGCCAGAAAAAAGAGGAGAUAAAAAACAACCCCGACCCCACGAACACCCCGUCCCAUGAUCCAAUCUCCCCCGACCCCUCCGCCCUCGUUCAACCUCCCCUCGUACGAUAGAGGAAGGAAAAAAGGCGCCUGCUAGGCGUCAUCCGGCUUAUAACUUGCAGUUAUAAGCCGCCUUAUCUACCGUCCGAUAUGAUUAAUCAAGGCCAUCAGUUUGUAUCCCCGCAUCACAGUACGUCCACAGCCCCGCGACAUUAACUGAUACAAACCGUUCAAUGGAAGACGCUACCAAGAUCAGAGCAAGCAGCGCUUGCCGUCGGCCGCAUGCAGCACGGUCGGUGUCGUGGUGGAGCUGCAAUGGAACAAGAUAUGAUUAAUCAAGGCCAUCAGUUUGUAUCACCGCAUCACAGCACGUCCACAGCCCCGCGACAUUAACUGAUACAAACCGUUCAAUGGCAGACGCUACCGAGAUCAGAGCAAGCAGCGCUUGCCGUCGGCCGCAUGCAGCAUGGUCGGUGUCAUGGUGGAGCUGCAAUGGAACAUCGCCGGAGGUCGCCGCUGCUGUAAUGGAGCAUCACUUGGCUGAUGGUGCCGUGGUGGAGCUGCAAUGAAACAUCACUGGGGGUCGUCGCUGCUACGGUGGAGCGUCGCCGGACCGUCGAUCCGUGGUGCUGUGAUGAAGCAUUGUCGAACCGCCGACGUCGGCGGUGCUUCAUUGCAACCUCGCCGGAGCUUCCAACGACCGCCGCGACGCUUCACUGCAACCUCGCCGGAGCUCCAACAAUCGUCGUGGCGCUUCAUUGCAACCUCGCCGGAGCUUCAUUGCAACCUCAGCCGUGCUCCAUGGUAGCACCCCGACAGCCACCGGCGAAGCUUCAUUGCAGCGUCACCACCACCACGCGGCCGUGCUCCAUCGCAGCACCGCUGCCCGCCUGCCCCAUCAAAGCUCCACCGCAGCACCAGACUGGUGCCGCCGAAGCUUCACUGCAGCGCAACGCGAUGGCGUCGAGGUGCUGCGGCGAAUCAGGCGACCGCGAUGGCGGAUGUUGUGACACAACAGUGCGGCGAGCCGGCGACAGCGAUGCUGCGAUGCAGACGCGGUGGCGACAGAGCUCUCGAGGCCCGAUGUUGUGAUGCUCCUCUCCUCAACCUCCCCACUGCAGCAUGUGCGGCGAGUGGUGACCCGCCUCCAACACCAUCGUCUUCUGCAGCUCCGGUGGCCACACCGUACCGUCGCCCCCCUUUGGAGCAGCGAUGCCCCGCGAUGGAUCUCUCACAUGGGUCCUAGGAUUUGUGUUGGAGCUUCGCCGAAGGGAGAGAAGGUGAGCAGGAAGGUUGUUGACGCCGGCGGCAUGGCUCCGGCGGUGGGUUGGACGGGAUUGAGGGGUGAGAGAUAGAGGGAGGAGAUGGAACAGAGAAGAGAUGGGGAUGAAGAGAAGCGCUCCAGGGAAGACCAGAUCCUUCGGCAAAGAGAUAAGAUGGAGGACGCGUGGGCAUGUGGGCCUGUGAGACACAUGGCGUGCUGUGAAGGAGGUUUACGAGAGAUAGAAAUCAUCCGGUUGAUUGUAAACGUUUUCCAGAAAAAAAAUCUACCGAAAACAUCGCGCACCAAACCGACGCAAAAACAGUGAAGAACACACGUCCUCCACCUUCUCCCGGACCCAUUCUGCAUCUCUUUCCCAAUCCCGAACUACCUGGCAUCCGUCCUCGCUCGCACCCCCGCAUGGAGGGCUCACCCCGCCCCGCCGAAGGCCUCGUGCACGGCGGACACCUUGGCGAUCGAGCUUGCGGGGGCGGCGCCUCGGGGACGGCCCGGUCAUGCGCGGCAACGGCGCCGGCGGCGGGGGGUAGCGGGCCACGCAGCAAUCCAUCUGGUGGAGAAAAAUUCACUGGACAUGACCAUUGCAGGAAAGUCAUGGGUGUUCGGAACACAAAGAAGUUCUAAAUAUUGCAAGUUGAAGUUUUAUCUAUGCUGCUCGGUAUUUUCGUUUUCAAUUAACACUCUACGAAUGAUAUUUGAUGCUUAUUUAAAUAACUGACAUGUAUGUACUAUGACAUUCCCUUAGCUCGUGCUCUUGGUUUUUCUCUAAAUCAAUGUUUAAGUCAAUGUGUAUACCUCCUACAAAAAUGAUAAGUACAUGUAUGAAAAAGAGAGUAUGAGAGACAACAAGAUAUUCCCAAUCCUGGAAGGUAAGAUAUUCAUGGCAAGAUACUCUCAAGUAAAGAUAAGAGCAUCUUAUAUUCCGCAUAAACAAAUGCAAUUAAGCUUCCACCCUCUCCGUGUAUUCAACGUAAGGUGUUAACGUGUUAGCUGUUGUGCAAGCUAUAGUUCUCUUUGUUUGACUAGCUAUGUUGUAAGUCGAUUAUGCUAUUACCCCAACAAUGGAGAAAGAUAUGAUUCUGGGAGAAGGGAAUUGGUAUGCAUGCUGUUUUCUAAAUGAUCCGUCUGCGGCUUCUUGCAGGCAUAACUAUUGAAUCUCUUCAACAAGUUUUUUAAUGCACUCUCGGCAAGUGUGCAUUGUUCCCCCUUUUCCCAAUAUAUACAAGGUUACAGAAGCCAUUCUUGUAACUGAUACUGUACAGUUUGUGUUUGUUUGAUUUCGUUAGCUACACAUUGUAUUUUAUUAUUCUUUACGUUUCUUGCAGCCACAAAGUGUUUACGUACUCCCUCCGCUCCUUUUUACUCUGCAUAUAAGAAUUGUCUGAAGUCAAACUUCAUAAAGUUUCACCAUAUUUAUAUGAAAAAAUAUUAACAUCUAUAAUGCUAAGUUUAUACAAUAUGAAAACUAAAGUCAUGACGCAUCUAAUGUUGUUGAUUUCACAUUCUGAAUGUUGGUAUUUUUUUCUAUAAACUUGGUCAAAGGUCACAAGGUUUGACUUCAGACAAAUCUUAUAUGCAAACUAAAAAGGACCGGAAGGGGGUAUUAGUUUCAUUUCCUCUGCUAGAAACCAUAUUCGUUCCUUCUACAUUUUCUGGUAGCUACAGAAACGUUAUCUUUGUGGCACUCAUAAACUAAGGAGAGACACAUAUUGACAUUACACAACGUGCAGUUUUUAUUAUUUGUAAAUAAGAAUUUUAGUACAUCAUCCUCUAUCAUGGUAGGUUAGAAUAGUUUCAUUUUCAUCUCCCACAAUACAUGAUGAAUGAUUCAUAGAUUUACUAAAGGUCAAAAGGUGUCCAAGCGGUGAUAAGGUAUGGUUGUAGUGACGAUAAUACUGGAGCAACUGCAGUUGAAGAGAAUGAAGGCAGAGGAGAAAGAUUCCGCUUUAUCUUUUGCGACAACCGACAAGAGAGUGGAUAAGGGGAUAUGACGUCUGCCUGGAAGAAAUCACUAGGGAAGAGACUUUGUAUUGUUGCUAAGAAUGUCGCCAUAUUUGGGAGAUAUUUCUACAUUAUCAAAAUUGUUUUGUUAAUUUUUUUAAUUCCGUGUCAACGCACGGGCAUUCGACUAGUAGUACUAGAAUGCACCCUUGUUAUUGCGUGGCCAAGCAGCUUAAUUUUAAUUAUUGUUUAGCCUUUUCUAAAGAUAAAGAUGCGUCGCUGUUGGUUGUUGAGAUGCCAUUCUCUUCUGAUUUAUUGUUGAUUGAUUGCUGCCAUGAUCUCCAUGGGAGUUCAGAAGUAGCUGGUGCUGGAAGAUGACAAUAUUCAGUUCGAUUGGUUUAUGACAAGUAUGGUGUUCAGCUCAGCUAUAUACACUGAUUCUCAAUGUUGGAACGUGCCUUCAGAUUCGGCAGCCAUGGCAGCUGUUUAGCUGCGGGUUAUAGUUGAGAUUUUUUUUUUUUUUGCGAAACAGGUUAUAGUUGAGAUUGUGCCCUGUGUUUGUGGGCUAGCAGAUAGGAAACUGAGAUGGUAAUGCAUAUGAUUUUAGCGUGUUGUAAAACUUGUAUCAUACCGCCGAAUAAAGUUUGUGGGCUACCAAAUAGGAAACUGAGAUAGUAAUGGAUAUGAUUUUAGCGUGUUGUAAAACUUGUAUCAUCAUGCUGAAUAAAGUUUGCA